rnacentral:rRNA from 1 species
CCCUUAGAGUUUGAUCCUGGCUCAGAAUCAACGCUGGCGGCGUGCCUAACACAUGCAAGUCGAACGCGAAAGUGGAGCAAUCCAUGAGUAGAGUGGCAAACGGGUGAGUAACGCGUGGGCGACCUACCUUCGAGUGGGGGAUAACAUUCCGAAAGGAGUGCUAAUACCGCAUGACAUCCCGUGUUUGGAUACACGGACAUCAAAGCCGGGGAUCGCAAGACCUGGCGCUUGAAGAGGGGCCCGCGUCCGAUUAGCUAGUUGGCGAGGUAACGGCUCACCAAGGCUUCGAUCGGUAUCCGGCCUGAGAGGGCGGACGGACACACUGGGACUGAGACACGGCCCAGACUCCUACGGGAGGCAGCAGUGGGGAAUUGUUCGCAAUGGGCGCAAGCCUGACGACGCAACGCCGCGUGGAGGAUGAAGAUUUUCGGAUCGUAAACUCCUUUCGACCGAGAUGAAUUUCCGCCGACCUAAUACGUCGGCGGGGUGACAGUAUCGAGGGAAGCAGCCCCGGCUAACUCCGUGCCAGCAGCCGCGGUAAUACGGGGGGGGCAGGCGUUGUUCGGAAUUACUGGGCGUAAAGGGUUCGUAGGUGGCUCGCUAAGCCAGACGUGAAAUCCCUCAGCUUAACUGGGGAACUGCGUCUGGGACUGGAGAGCUUGAGUGCAGGAGAGGAAUGCGGAAUUCCAGGUGUAGCGGUGAAAUGCGUAGAUAUCUGGAGGAACACGGGUGGCGAAGCGCAUUCUGGACUGCAACUGACACUGAGAACGAAAGCAGGGAGCAAACGGGAUAGAUACCCCGGUAG